UGAAGCGAAGAAUUUAAGCCCCAGUAAACGGCGGUGGUAACUAUAACCAUCCUAAGAUAGCGAAAUUCCUUGUCGGGUAAGUUCCGACCUGCACGAAAGGCGUAACGACUUCGCUGCUGUCUCAACCACGAACUCGGCGAAAUUGCAUUACGAGUAAAGAUGCUCGUUACGCGCAGCAGGACGGAAAGACCCCGAGACCUUCACUAUAGUUUGGUAUUGGGCUUCGGUGUGGUUUGUGUAGGAUAGGUGGGAGAUGUUGAAGCCUGGUCGCCAGAUCGGGUGGAGUCGGCAAGUGAAAUACCACUCUGACCAUUCUGGAUUCCUUAACUUCGGACCCUGAUCGGGUUCAGGGACAGUGCCUGAUGGGUAGUUUAACUGGGGCGGUUGCCUCCUAAAGAGUAACGGAGGCGCCCAAAGGUUCCCUCAGCCUGGUUGGCAAUCAGGUGUCGAGUGUAAGUGCACAAGGGAGCUUGACUGUGAGACGGACGUGUCGAGCAGGAGCGAAAGCUGGGACUAGUGACCCGGCCAUGGCUUGUGGAAGCGUGGUCGCUCAACGGAUAAAAGGUACCUCGGGGAUAACAGGCUGAUCUUGCCCAAGAGUCCAUAUCGACGGCAUGGUUUGGCACCUCGAUGUCGGCUCGUCGCAUCCUGGGGCUGGAGUCGGUCCCAAGGGUUGGGCUGUUCGCCCAUUAAAGCGGUACGCGAGCUGGGUUUAGAACGUCGUGAGACAGUUCGGUCCCUAUCCGCUGCGUGCGUAGGAAAUUUGUGGAGGGCUGUCCUUAGUACGAGAGGACCGGGACGGACGAACCUCUGGUGUGCCAGUUGUACCGCCAGGUGCAUGGCUGGUUGGCUACGUUCGGGAAGGAUAACCGCUGAAAGCAUCU
rnacentral:rRNA from 1 species